rnacentral:rRNA from 1 species
GCGCUUCAACGUCGAUACCGCUUGAAAUUAGAUUUGUUUUGGGUUUCAGAUUUGCCACGGGAUUCCCGACAUAUAUACCUCCUUCUCCCCCCUUAAAGCACCGGGAACCACCUCCCCAGGCUUUAGUUGGGAUAGAGAACAAAGGGGUGUGUAUGCCUGAGAUUUUUAUCGGAUAUGAAUACAUAAAGUUUUAAUGUUCCCAGACUGGGUUAUUAUUCCACUGCGUCGUGGAUCUUAUCGGAGCCCUGCUUUAAAUACUUCACCGUAGAACAUAUAAAGCAGGUUCCGAAGUACGUGGGUAAUGCCACCGAAGUUUCAGGACUUUAGUAGUGAACAUUGAGGCAAGGACAAGGGGAACGCGUACCGUAGUAGAGGUACGAACAAGAACGAGGUUACAAGUAGGAAGAGGUUCGAUCCGGGAAGUAAACAUUCGUUUUGUUUAUAUAGGUUAAAUCCGUCGUAGUAUAAGAGUACUUGUAAUCUUAGUAAUGGUUCUUUGCUUUCAUGGACUAUUAAAUUAACCGCACGCGCUCGAGAUCAUUAACCAGGGCAUAUACAUCGUCAUCCCCGACACCCACAUUGUUACCAUAACUACAGGAGUAGUGGCGGUGCUCGCUUUUGAAGUCCUGUCCCGAGUUUCACAGCACCAGCACCGUGCAUGGGGCUGCGUCCGGCAGUAGCUCCAAUAGUAGAGGUCGUACACCAACACGGCGCUUUGCCGCUAGUACGUGCGGCCGUACAGUCGGUGCUCGGUCACAACGCAUUGCUUCACCUCGUUGGCCUCAUCGGAUACCACCACACCUUAGUUAGCAGUCGCAUAACUACCACAGGCGGUUUUGUAGUUUGAGCUCCUAGUCUUGUAGUUAGUAAAACGGUUUUAAGUGGAGCUGACGUAGUACUGUAACAAACUGCAUCAACGUACACACCAGUUUUAGUAGGGUUUAUAAAAAUCCUUACGGUAAGCGUAUGCAGAUUAGUAGGGCUUAUAAAAAUCCUUACGGUAAGCGUAUGUGAUU